rnacentral:rRNA from 1 species
GAUGAACGCUGGCGGCGUGCCUAAUACAUGCAAGUCGAGCGAACGGACGAGAAGCUUGCUUCUCUGAUGUUAGCGGCGGACGGGUGAGUAACACGUGGAUAACCUACCUAUAAGACUGGGAUAACUUCGGGAAACCGUAGCUAAUACCGGAUAAUAUUUUGAACCGCAUGGUUCAAAGGUGAAAGACGGUCUUGCUGUCACUUAUAGAUGGAUCCGCGCUGCAUUAGCUAGUUGGUAAGGUAACGGCUUACCAAGGCAACGAUGCAUAGCCGACCUGAGAGGGGGAUCGGCCACACGGGAACUGAGACACGGUCCAGACUCCUACGGGAGGCAGCAGUAGGGAAUCUUCCGCAAUGGGCGAAAGCCUGACGGAGCAACGCCGCGUGAGUGAUGAAGGUCUUCGGAUCGUAAAACUCUGUUAUUAGGGAAGAACAUAUGUGUAAGUAACUGUGCACAUCUUGACGGUACCUAAUCAGAAAGCCACGGCUAACUACGUG